rnacentral:tRNA from 1 species
GGAAAUGUGCCUGAGUAAAAAGGAUUACUUUGAUAGAGUAAAACACGAGGGUUAAAACCCCUCCAUCUCCU